rnacentral:rRNA from 1 species
UACAGAGGGUGCAAGCGUUAAUCGGAAUUACUGGGCGUAAAGCGUGCGUAGACGGUCAUGUAAGUCGGGUGUGAAAGCCCCGGGCUCAACCUGGGAAUUGCAUUCGAGACUGCAUGGCUAGGAUGCGGAAGAGGGAAGCGGAAUUUCCGGUGUAGCGGUGAAAUGCGCAGAUAUCAGGAGGAACACCGGUGGCGAAGGCGCCACUCUGGGCCGGUACUGACGCUGAGGAGCGAAAGCGUGGGUAGCAAACAGG